UACGUCGGGUGCGAGCGUUGUCCGGAAUUCUUGGGCGUAAAGAGCUUGUAGGCGGUCUGUCGCGUCUGCUGUGAAAAUCCGGGGCUCAACCCCGGACUUGCAGUGGGUACGGGCAGACUAGAGUGUGGUAGGGGAGACUGGAAUUCCUGGUGUAGCGGUGAAAUGCGCAGAUAUCAGGAGGAACACCGAUGGCGAAGGCAGGUCUCUGGGCCACUACUGACGCUGAGAAGCGAAAGCAUGGGGAGCGAACAGG
rnacentral:rRNA from 1 species